GAGUAACCAAAGUAUUCGGUGCUUUAGUCAGUGUCCACACUACUGCGUAUUUACAGAGUCAAUUUUUGAGUCUCUUCCCUUAGUUUGCUUUGCUCACUGGAAAUUUAGUUUCUUUCUUGCUGGUUUCAAUGGCCUCCUCUGCAUCUCUUCCUUCAUCAGUUGAAUCAUCAUCAUCAGCUCGUCGCUGCAAGUAUGAUGUGCUUUUGAGUUUCAGGGGUGCUGACACUUGCAAGGGUAUCACAUCUGAUCUAUAUCAUCGACUGCAGACGAGUGGAAUUAAAACAUUCAUGGAUGAUCCAGAUCUUGAAAUUGGGGAUGCUAUUUCUCCCACUCUUCUAAAGGCAAUUGAAGAAUCACAGGUUGCAAUUGUUGUUCUCUCGCGAGACUACGCUUCUUCUACUUGGUGUUUGGAGGAACUUGCAAAGAUCUGUGAGUGCAUGAAAGACCAGAAGAGAAUUCUUCCACUUUUUUUUGACGUGGAGCCCUCUGAUGUAAGAUAUCAGAAGACAAGUUUCAAUGAAGCUUUCUGGAAGCAUGGAGCCUCCGGGCGACACAGAUCGGAAAAGGUCCGGCAGUGGAGGGAUGCUUUAAACAAAGUGGCUAAUUUCUCUGGGUGGUGUACAAAUAAUUACAAGACUGAUAGAGAACUUGUGGAGGAAAUUGUGGGUUUUGUGUGCCGUCAAGUAAUACCUAUUGAAAUUGAAAUUGGGGUUACAAUCUCCACCGUCUCCACGGUUAUGAUUAAUCCUGAAGCAUUUGAAGCAGCAAUAAGAAAAGCCAUACUUAAAGUUAUGAAGAAGGGGCUUAAAGAUGACGGGAAGGGCAACACAACCAUGGUAAAUCAUGUUGCUGCACAAUCCAGAGAAAGUAGGAAUUUUGAUUUUGUGAUGACUGGUGUGGUAUCCCAGAGCCCUGGCUUGACAAAAAUUCAAGGCACAUUCGCGGGGCCGAGCGGGUGUUGUACUGGGAAGCCUAAGCUUAUUAUCACUAAUUGGAAAAAGGUUGGUCAUCUCGGCAACGGCUCUUUCGGGUCUGUGUAUGAAGUAUUUGCUGAUUGCGGAAGCUUCUUCGCUGUCAAGGAAGUUUCCUUGCAUGAUCAUGGAAGAGUUUCUCGACUUGAACAGGAGAUUGCUUUUCUGAGUCAGUUUCAACAUGAGAACAUAGUUCAGUAUUAUGGUACACAAAAGGAUGAAUCAAAGCUCUAUAUCUUUCUGGAACUUGUAACCAAAGGCUCCCUUCAAAAGCUAUAUCAAACGCACCCUCUUACAGAUUCACAUGUCUCUGUAUACACUAGACAGAUCUUGCAAGGUCUGAAGUAUCUUCACGACCAAAAUGUGAUUCACAGGGACAUUAAAUGCGCAAAUAUUUUGGUGCAUGCUAAUGGAUCUGUCAAGCUUGCAGACUUUGGAUUGGCAAAGGCUAUCAAAAUGAACGACAAACUAUCUUGCCAAGGAACUGCAAACUGGAUGGCCCCUGAGCUUGCUAAACCUGGAAAUCCAGGUUAUGGCCUUCCAGCUGAUAUAUGGAGUCUUGGAUGUACUGUGUUGGAGAUGUUAACUGGGAAGGUUCCAUACCCUGAUCUCGAAUGGAUGGCGGUAUUAUGGAAACUUAUGGAGGGGAAGCUCCCUCUGGUUCCUGAUUCUCUUUCAGGAGAGGCACAAGAGUUUAUCCAUCUAUGCUUACAAGUUGAGCCAGAUAAUCGUCCCACUGCUGCUCAGCUUUUAACUCAUCCAUUUGUAAAUAAGCCGCUUCCUCCCACGUCUUCUGGAUCAGUAUCUCCUUACAAUCACCACGGGCAGAGUUGAAAAGAUAUAUUCAGCUAUAAGUUGUGAUGGUAAUAAGCUCUAAUCGACCGAAAGAAGCAGGAUGACAACUCAUCCAUGUUCUAUAAUUUGCUUUGGAAUCCCGUGUUCAGCCAUCAAAUCUUGGCUUACGCUGGUAGAGUGUGUGCUUGUUAUAACUUCAGUGAUGGUCUAUGCCAGAUCUGGCAAUGGGAUAUGACUUUAGAAGAACAAGCAUCCUUUUGUCCGAAAAUCAUCUUGCACGUAGAGCAACCCACUAAUUAUUUCACGAUCAUUUCUGUUGUAGAAAUAUGAUUUAUUGAUAGUGUUUGGCGUUUCAUGUCUUCCCCUCUGUUCCAAAUGAAGAUAUUUAGCGGGUUUGUCUCAUAAAGAGAAGAAAAGAAGCUAAAAUGAGCUAACUAGGAUUGAAAGACGCCCAGGUUCCAGAAUCUGUCUCUGCAGAACAUCCAACUUCGCCGAAUUACUGGGAGUUACCCACAUCGAAUCAGACAAUGACCCUUAUAUGCAUGGAAAGCUACGGAUGUCUAUUUUCUGUUGAAUUUUACGGAUCUCAAUUUCGAUACUUCUGGAGAAAGUUAUGAUUAUUUGAGUGAAGAUAGGUCGGACAGGAAAUCUGCUCGGGAAUUUACAACCAUUCGUGGAGAACUCAAGUUCCGUGGCACAAGAUCAUCAAUCCUAAUGUUUCAAGGAAGUUAAUUCAGAUGAGGAUUCAAUGAUGAACUUAUUCCUACUUUUACAAGAGAUAUUUCAAGCUUUUCCCAUUCCAAAUGAAGAAAGAAAUCCAAAUCCAAGUCUUACAAGGAAACAUGAAGCCAAAGAUGAGCAGAAAUAUUCCCUAUAUAAGGGAGCACGAAUUUUACAUAAAGGAGAGUCUCGGAGCACAAUGUAGACGCCUAAGGAGCGGAGACGACUCAUCCAUCUUUCCCUUCUUUUCCCCUUCCAUUCUUUUUAUGUUUUUCCUAUGUUUUACGUAGUUAUAUUUUGUUAAACCUUUUCUAGGGUUAGGAUGAUGCCCUAUCAUGAUUGUUUAUGUACUUUGAUAUUUUAUUGAUGGAUUUAUAGUUUCUUUAUGAUGAAUGCUUAAUCACUAUUUGAAUUGAUGCUUUAUGUUUAAGUUCUUUGAUUGAUCACCUUAGGGCUUUGCAUAUAGUAAUUGGAAGACAAAUUUGAAGCAGAGAUGCAAUAUAAUUUGAUUAGCUUCUUGUGAUUAAGUGUGGUAAAUUACAUUAUUACUUGAGAAAGACUAAUGGUUUGCUUGAUUCCCUUGUUUUCUAAAGCGUAAUGAGUCUUGCAUGUUAAAUUUAUACCUGAGAAGGAUAAACUGCAUAGUUAGGAUAUAAGAUCUUUACCCGAGAGGGAGAGCAUCAUACACUUAAGGAAAACUAUGGUCUAGAGUACCUGAGAAGGACUUAGAUACGGGAAUUAUCAUCUAGAGA